UCUCUCAGCUCUCUCAUAUUGAUACCCCCAAACCCCCAAGAUUUUCAUUUCUCUUCUCUCUCUCUGAAAUUUUCUCUCUUCGAAAUUCUCUCUUAGCCCUAGGGUUUCAACUUAAUGAUAAGGUUCAGAUAUUUGUGAACACGAAGAGAUUUCAAGGCCUUCGAGUUAAUCAAAAUAUUGAUUGGUUGCGCUGGAGUGUGAAGUUUGGGUCGAACUUGGCUUCUGGGCUUUGUUAAAGCUGGUUUGUAUGGAAUGAAGAUAUCAUUUUUGCGUCUUCAGGAAAGGAGGUCCAGUGUUUUGAUGUGCAUAUGAUUGCAUGAAGUCGUCUUUUCUUGGUGCUGUAGAUGAUGGUGGUGAUGUUAAGGUACUUAUGAUGUUUUGACUCACUGGAUCGUGGGUGGCAAGAGUAGGGUGGUUCAGGGGAGACAAUUGCCCUCUGCCCCACAAACAAAAAAGAAAAAAAGAAAAAAAAAAUCAUGUCCUUCUAGAAAAACCUAUGAAAAACAUAUUUGAUCCACCCCAAACAAGUCUUGCCUUGCCCCAACUAAUAGUAAGAAUCAUGUUGCAUCACCCACAUUUCUUGAGAAUCUGUUAGAAUUAUUAUUCGGGUUUUGAGAUUAUGAUUUGCCAUAUUUUUUUCAUGGAAAAUCAUAUAAUCUAGGCUUUUGAUUGAGAGGAAUUAAUCAACAAAAGCACACUCUCACUGUGUUUCCAAUUGGGAUUUUUCUCAUCUCUUUCUCUUUCCCUUACUGUGUGUUUGGGUAAAAAAAACCUUUAUGGGAGGAGCUAGAAUUUUAGAGACAGAAAUCCUAGGUCUCUUCCACACUUACCCUAUCAAAAUUCACUGUUUCACAUCCACCCACACUUAUGCUAUCAAAAUUGACAUUUUCAACAAGGCAAAGGGCUGAGUUUUCAAAGAGAAACUCCACCCACACUUACGCUAUCAAAAUUCACAUUUUCAAAGAGAAACUCCACAAUGUCCACAGUUAUUAACCCAUAGAUAUUGAAUUCUAAUUUGAAUGUAGAGAUUUGGCACAUGAGUAUAUGUUUGUGCAGUACAAAUUUGAUGCAAUAUUUGCAGCUCAUGUCCAAGCUUAUGAAAUUAUAGGUUUUCUUGUCUUCUUCACUUAAUUUGAGUGGUUGGUUAAAGAUUCAAGUAUAAUUAAUUAUGCGGGUGAUAAAUCAUGUCUAAUAUAGUGUGUUUUUAUUGAGUUUAUGACUUUAUGCUGAGGUCGUUGUACUAUUGUAGAAUUUGAGCAGCAAAAAAUGUAUAAAGGUGCAAUUGGCUAAAGAGUGGUCAAGGUAACUUUUUUAUAUAUAUCUUCAAAUAAAUAUCACUUUUGAUGAUGGGAGAAAUCUUAUUAAGAAUUAUACCAUAUGCAUAUCCAUUUUAACAGAAAUUUUGUUUAGUGUGUUUCCAUCCUGGUUUGGUUUCAGGGUUUUGCAACUAAGAAUUUGGCAAAGUAACUUUUGGAUUAAAAAUUUAUAAAUUGAAUAUAAUAGGCUAACCAUGCUAAUAAAGCUUAAACUAUAUACUAGUAAUUCAGGUAGAAGUUGCUCCUUGAUGCAAUGACUUUAGCAUGUAUUAUAAAUAACUUUAAUGUUGUUACACUUGCUAGCUGUUCCCUUUGUACAAUUUCAUGUGUUCUGGUUUUGUGAUGAGAACUGUCCUAGCUCCUUAAUUUUUUUGUUAGUUUCUUGCUUUUAAUGCAACUUGGUCAUCCUGUGUUGGCAGAACUGUAGAUACAUGUGACCUUUCUUGGAUUUCAUUUCUGUUUGUGGGGAAUGUGGAGUUCGGUAGCAGGCUUAUUAUAUGGCGCGCUAUGUUUGCCAGUUGCUAUACUGCUAAUGGUUAUGCUAUAUUUCACCGGCUUUGUAGAAUGUGUGUAAAUGAAGUAGUGGAUGCCUUACAAUGAUUUAUUUCCUGAUCUAUAUGAGAAACCUGUAUGCCUUUAUCAAAUCCAAGGAAUUGUAAAUCUAUGUAAAAGUCUGAUGUUUGGAAUUUUUUUGCCCUUGCUUGAACUUAUUCA